CUGGCGGCAGCCUAACACAUGCAGUCGAACGGUAACAGGAAGCAGCUUGCUGCUUCGCUGACGAGUGGCGGACGGGUGAGUAAUGUCUGGGAAACUGCCUGAUGGAGGGGGAUAACUACUGGAAACGGUAGCUAAUACCGCAUAACGUCGCAAGACCAAAGAGGGGGACCUUCGGGCCUCUUGCCAUCGGAUGUGCCCAGAUGGGAUUAGCUAGUGGUGGGGUAACGGCUCACCUAGGCGACGAUCCCUAGCUGGUCUGAGAGGAUGACCAGCCACACUGGAACUGAGACACGGUCCAGACUCCUACGGGAGGCAGCAGUGGGGAAUAUUGCACAAUGGGCGCAAGCCUGAUGCAGCCAUGCCGCGUGUAUGAAGAAGGCCUUUCGGGUUGUAAAGUACUUUUCAGCGGGGAGGAAGGCGAUAAGGUUAAUAACCUUGUUCGAUUGACGUUACCCGCAGAAGAU
rnacentral:rRNA from 1 species